UACGUAGGGUCCGAGCGUUGUCCGGAAUUACUGGGCGUAAAGAGCUCGUAGGUGGUUUGUCGCGUUGUUCGUGAAAACUCACAGCUUAACUGUGGGCGUGCGGGCGAUACGGGCAGACUGGAGUACUGCAGGGGAGACUGGAAUUCCUGGUGUAGCGGUGGAAUGCGCAGAUAUCGAGGAGGAACACCGGUGGCGAAGGCGGUUCUCUGGGCAUGUCCUGACGCUGAGGAGCGAAAGUGUGGGGAGCGAACAGG
rnacentral:rRNA from 1 species